GUUUCUAACCCUCACUCUCUCAUCACUCUCUAUGCUCUCCUCUCAUCUCCUCCCACAGUUUCUCAAGUGCUCAACAAUGGAGCUCCUGGAGGAAGAGGCUGCGCCGUCAGCAAUGCCUCGUCUCUGCCACUCCUUCGCACUCGCAUCUACCAGCGCCAUCUUCUUCUGCGUCGCCGUUCGUGUUCGUCAUCUCCUCUACGUCGUCGUCGGUUCCUGUUCUGUCAUCCACGGUGUUGCUUCUCUGCGUCAUCGCCGUUCGUGCUCGUCUGCCAUCGCAUUCUCUGCGUCGCCGUUCGUGUUCGUCAUCUCCUCUACGUCGUCGUCGGUUCCUGCUCCGUCAUCCACGGUGUUGCUUCUCUGCGUCAUCGCCGUUCGUGCUCGUCUGCCAUCGCAUUCUCUGCGUCGCCGUUCCUGCUCGUGCUGCUCCUCUGCUUCUGCUACCCUGGUCCCUGGUCCUCUGUCUCUGCUACCCUGGUUCAUCUCGACCGUUCUCCUUCCUCCACGGUGGUUCAUCUCUGCUGCUCGUCCCUUGGUUGCUGGUUUUUUAUCUGCUGAUGGUAAAGGUUAUUUGAAUAUUGAUGCCUAUAAUAUUGUUCUUUAAUAUUCUUGUUGUCUAUGAACGUAUUGUUCUUUUGUGAUUUUGUCCAUGAUUAUGUGUUAUCAAUUGAUUUUAGGGAUAAACUUACAAAUGUUGUUCUUGUUAUUAUUGUAAUAUAUAAACCUACUGAGUUCCAUAUGUGGCUGAAAGAAAAGAAAAAGAGGUAUGUGAGUCUCAAUUUUGGGUAAUUUUAAUCCUUAUUAUUUGGGGUUUUAACAUUGAGUUAUGUUAUAUUUUAACUCAUAUAAUUGAACUCAUAAUUGCUGUUGUAGGUAAGGAUUUUGAAAUCUAGAGCUUUUGAAAUGAUUUGAACAAAAUGAAUGGGAGUGAAACUAGAAAAGGAUAAUGAUGUGGGCUUCUUUAUUUGAGAAUUCUUUUUGUAGUUUUUUGUGCAAUUGUUUUUCUACUGCAGGACCCUUGUCCCAUUAUUUCAUAUAUGCAAGACAUUAAUUACCAUCUAACUGGACCACUGCAAGAUUGGAUAUCUAAAUCAGAAGAUUUUGUUCAAGUCAGAGCAGAGGUCUUUAGUCCCUUUGUUAGAUCAUCCAGAGAAAGCUGAACUUGAGUCGGUACCUGACUGCUCAGAUUCAACUGUCAUAACUAAACUCUAGUGCAUCAUGCUAAUCCAAACUGAUCUUUGGAUCUUGCUCCUAAAUGUGCCUUUGCUGAUGUUGUUCUUUGCACUUUGGUUCUCAAAUUGAGUUUAUUUGCCUCCAAUUGAACCCCAAGGGUUAAAAUGAAAAGUAGAAUACAAUAAUCUUGUUUUUGUUAUAGUAUUUGUAGACUCAAUGACAUUAUGAGUCUUUGUUUAAAUAUAUUUCCAUCUUUUGAUUUUGAAUGUACAUAAGUUUUUUUUCC